rnacentral:rRNA from 1 species
UCUUAGUGGCGAACGGGUGAGUAACGCGUAGGCAACCUGCCCUUUAGACGGGGACAACAUUCCGAAAGGAGUGCUAAUACCGGAUGUGAUCAUCGUGCCGCAUGGCAGGAUGAAGAAAGAUGGCCUCUCGAAGCAAGCUAUCGCUAAAGGAUGGGCCUGCGUCUGAUUAGCUAGUUGGUAGUGUAACGGACUACCAAGGCGAUGAUCAGUAGCCGGUCUGAGAGGAUGAACGGCCACAUUGGGACUGAGACACGGCCCAAACUCCUACGGGAGGCAGCAGUGGGGAAUCUUCCGCAAUGGACGAAAGUCUGACGGAGCAACGCCGCGUGAGUGAUGAAGGAUUUCGGUCUGUAAAGCUCUGUUGUUUAUGACGAACGUGCAGUGUGUGAACAAUGCAUUGCAAUGACGGUAGUAAACGAGGAAGCCACGGCUAACUACGGUGCCAG